rnacentral:snRNA from 1 species
UCAGCAUCUUGGCCUUCUUGGCUAAAAUCAAAUGUAGCAGCAUUUUUGGCACCCAGAGGAGGGUGUCAGGGCUGGCUCUGGCCUUUUUGGUGCCUGCCUGGUGUUGCACUACCUCCAGGCUUGGUGCCAGUUCC